UCAAAUAUUACCUCCUAAUUCAACACGAAAUAACCGAAUACUAUUUACUUUUUAUUCUUGAAGAUUCAAAUAUUACUUGAUUAUUAUGAGUUUUCAACAUAAUCAAGCAGUCAAAAUCUAAUCAAUAAAUGAAGCCCACUAAUCUAUAGAGUGUUUUUGUUAUUUAGCAGGCACUACUCUUCCUACAUGAUUAAUGUAACAAAUGAGUACUAUGGACUUGAAUAAUAUAAUGAAUAUCCCAUGGCCUAGAGGGAUACAUUUAUAUAUGUUUAAACUUCCUUGAGAUUUUGUAGUAGCUAAAGGCUCUUGAUGUGAUCGCCAUGUUUAUUUUUGAAUAAUCUGAUCAUACUUGUUUGAGGCUAAGGCAGAGAGAUAAGAAAAUAAAACUUCACAACUUACCUAUAAAGGCCUUAUUCUUGUGAAAGAUCUAAUGUUCUCACAUAAAUUCACUGACUAACUUAUGACCAUAAACCAUAAUGUCAUGUCUGCAAAGCACC
rnacentral:lncRNA from 1 species